rnacentral:lncRNA from 1 species
UUCUAUAGACAUUCACCUAGUAAAUGGGAAGUACUUAGUAAAAAGAAAAAAAUAAAAAUAAUAAAAAAGAUUUACUUAACACGACUAACUCCAGAAGAAGCUUUUUACUUUUAACCUUUAGAAUUGAAAUUAUAUAAUUACACUUAAUGGAGGAGGGGGGUUUAAACAGUCCCCUCUUCCUGGAAACGGUCAGCUUACUUAACCUUAACAGGGCAAUUACCGUAACUUCAGUCAUAACAGCAAUAAACCAAAUUGAUGUUACUGCUGACAAGUGGGGGGAGAGAAAGAGAGAAACAGAGGAUUAACCUCAAUUCUAAACAGUUUUAAAUAAUUUUCGAACUUUCAGGGGUGGGGCACACACACAUCGUCGGUUGGGAAACUCUAUAUGUUUGUACUAAUAUCUGUUUCCUUUCAAUCCAGGAUGUUUACCGUUAACGUUUCCUCUGUUAGAAUCAACUUGUCUGCGCUUUUUAGUCAGGUUACAAUAACGCUAAACAGAUUGAUGUUCUACUUCUCCUCCCCCUUGGAAAAAAAAAAAAGAAAUGCUGGCAAAUUUAGGAUGUUUAAAAAAAGACACUUGGCAAGAAAACCGGGGGUAAACCAAUAUAGUUGGUGACAGUUGUUUUACCGCCGGUGACAUUUGAGUAUCUACCGAUUUUGGCACAGGUGCCAAGAUGGUGUGUAUAAGUAUGUGCACGCCAUUAUUGACAUUUUCUGUUAGACAAGCAGAUUUGAUUGCGUUCCAACAGCUGAAAUGUGACCAGCGUUAAUUAUUUUUAGUAAUAUCUCGAUUUUAUACGCUACUUAAUAGAUAUGACACACUGUUAAAUCGCAAGUAUUUUAAGUUUUAAUUACAGACAAGGGG